AGGCACUAGAAUGACCAAUUGCAUUUGCAUACUCAACCCUCCAGCAUGGAACCCCAUUCAUUUCGUAUUUAAUUUUAGGACAAGUAACCAAGUGUGACCCCGUCUCCAUGUCUAAUAACAAAUUGUUUAGCUGAAGCUUCAAAUUUGCUGGUUAUGGAUUGAAGGCUAACUACCAAUUUGGUUGAACAAAAGUUUGUUACAUUUUCUCAAAAUGCAUUGGGAUGCUAAAUAUGUAACCAAAAAUUUGUUGUUUUUGCGUGGGUUGGUUGCAAUCUAAACCAAGCGAGCGGCUUUUAGAUUGUUUGGUAUAGCAUCAGCAUUUGUAUCAGUGUAUGUUGUUUUUAGAGGUGGGCAUGAUUCGAUUCAAGAUGAAAACUGAACUGAACUGUUUGCUAUAAUAAUUCAACUAAACUAAACUGUUUGCAUUUCAAACUUGUACUAAACCGAACUGAAUUGUUCCAAACUGAACCAAAU
rnacentral:lncRNA from 1 species